rnacentral:tRNA from 1 species
AAGGGAGACAGUGAUCUUGGGAGAGUGCUAAUUUUUCCGAGCCAUGGUUAGAGUCUAUGGGUCCCUUG